GCUCUCUUCGUACGCGUAAUUAUAUUAAUGACGAUACUGCUCGACGUUCGUGUAUAUUAUAAUGUUAUUUCGAUGAAGACACCGCGGAUCAAAAUAUAAACAGGGCACUCGUAUACCGGACCCGACAUCGAUUUUCGUUUACCACGGUAUAAUAUAAUAAUAUUAAACUAAUUUCGAUCCACGCCGCACGACGGUCGUCCUUUGGAAUCCGGAACGUCGUGAAACCCAAGUCACCGUUUUCGUGCCGAUUACGCGAGUUCGGAGAAAACGAGAUAUCUCAUCAUUGUGCCACCGAAAAAGUCUCGCAUAGGGUCUCGUAAAACGGAACGGGGUAAUAUUGUUGUCAAUGCCAAAAACGGAUUUUCUAAUGCGUCUGCUUUUCGAUUUACGAGAGAAACCCGACGUCCGAAAACGAAAGAAAAAAACCAAAUCGAUCGCAUUGCAUUACAUUACAACAAUGGACGGCGCGGCCCGUAACGCUCAUAAACAUCGGUCUAAUGAAGAGCAAAUCGUAUACAUCCGAG